CAGAUCCACCAUCAACAUAUUGUUUUUCUUGGUGGUACAUGACAGACAUCCUCAAGUGCACUUGACGUUUGGGUCCGUAUGAUUAAUUAUUGCCAUAUUACUGCUUUGAGAAAAGAAUAACAAAUCUAAUCGAUGUUCACAGUUAAUGAGAAAAAACUGGUAAGUAAAUAGUAAAAUGAAGCUGAUCAUCAUUGCUUGUACCUAACAUUUCAGUUCAACAUCUAAAAAAAGUUUCAGUUCUAAAUUGUGCCGUACAUUUUACUUUAAUUGUACACGGUUGAUUCUUCUGACAUUACUUUGCAAGUACUGCAACUGAAGCGAGCUUUAACACACUUGAAGUAUUGUUAUGUCACUCAAGGUACCCUGAUCCAGAAAACAGGAGUAACCUAACUGUCAUACAUCAAAACUUCAUUGUUGAAGUUUCCAGCACACCAUGCUUCUAUACAAAUGUUCACUCAUUUCCUUCCUGAAUCAGAUCAGCGGAAAUAUCUGCAAUUAGUCUUUUUUUUCUUUUAUUGGACAGCUGUUUCUAUAGUUCGGUAUUUAGGUUGAAUAAAAUUUGGCUCAGCAAUUCACUAUUUGAGCUUGGUGUAAGCUUAGCAGAACCAACAAAAUGACUCCUUUAGCUUAGCGUCGUGGGUUAAUCAGACUUGGAAAUGUGAGCUUCAGUCUUGGGUUCAGUGCUCUUGCUACAUUAAGCCUAUCGGAUUAUUGGAUAGGCAAGCAACCAGUUUGCAAAAGUUCCCUUGUUCGAUCAAACUCUUAAGAGAUUAAGUGGAUGGAGCCAAGCAACUAAUUCACAGAAUGACAGAAGUGGAUGGUCUACCAACAACCAUCACUGUUGCAAAUUAAGUUAUUCAGCUUUCUACGUCAAACCUGCUUUAGUUAGGUUGAUCAGGGUAAGAUAACUACUGAACAGGACCAAGCAAUUUGUAAACACCCAAAGCUGUCUUAUAGGACAGCCAUGUUGAGUCUUCAAGGACCUGCAAUAAAUUUCAGGUUAGUGCAUUGUGUUUAACUUGGGCGUGGUCUCCAUAUAUGGCAAGCAAAGCAUCAUGCAGAGCACAUCAAGCAACAGUUCAGAGCCAUGUAUCUGCAAAUAUGUUAAGGCGCACCUAUGUCCACGGAUAUGCAGAUUGAUAAGGAUGAGUUCAACUUAAACUUGUCGCUCAGCAGCCAUAUCCUCCAAAGCUUCCAACAAUAUUUUCUUGCAGCUACUGUCCUCAGAAGUUCCACAGUGCUCAUGCGUUAGGUGGCCACCAGAAUGCGCAUAAGCUCCAGCGUAGCCUUGGGAAGAGGAAUCAAGAGACUUUUUCUAGCAGUAAGACAAGGGAAAGAUGAAAAAUGCUGGGAUGCUGAAGCUGCCAGCGAUGUUCCAGGCACUGCAAGGAUCAGGUGGUUCAACACUAUCUAGCAGCACAAUGAUCCAGAAAGUUCUUCAACAGGAAGUAGUCUAAUUGAGAUCUAGCAAAUGGGAUAAAUGAUAAUCAACUUGUCUCCGAAGCUAUAAUAUGUUAUCCCCUUUCUUCUUCCUUUCUAUCAUAGUUUGAAUCUCCACAGGCUACAUAUCUUGUUAACAAUGCCUGCAGUGUUUAUCAUCCACAAUGUCUUGUGAACUUUCAUGGACCCAACAUUUCACAUAAUUGAAGUGGACAAGAUCUCCAAGUUUUUAGCCUGCUUCUGGUGGUGACAGAUUCAACAAAUCUGUGCUUUGGAUACUCUUUGAAUAAAAUUAUUGAUUGUCAUAGUUGU